rnacentral:rRNA from 1 species
AUAAUCCUGUAGUCGAAAAUGUUGUCUCUCUUGAGUGGAUCCUGAGUACGACGGAGCACGUGAAAUUCCGUCGGAAUCUGGGAGGACCAUCUCCUAAGGCUAAAUACUCUCUAGUGACCGAUAGUGAACCAGUACCGUGAGGGAAAGGUGAAAAGCACCCCGGAAGGGGAGUGAAAUAGAACCUGAAACCGUGUGCUUACAAGUAGUCAGAGCCCGUUAAUGGGUGAUGGCGUGCCUUUUGUAGAAUGAACCGGCGAGUUACGAUUUGAUGCAAGGUUAAGCAGUAAAUGUGGAGCCGUAGCGAAAGCGAGUCUGAAUAGGGCGUUUAGUAUUUGGUCGUAGACCCGAAACCAGGUGAUCUACCCUUGGUCAGGUUGAAGUUCAGGUAACACUGAAUGGAGGACCGAACCGACUUACGUUGAAAAGUGAGCGGAUGAACUGAGGGUAGCGGAGAAAUUCCAAUCGAACCUGGAGAUAGCUGGUUCUCUCCGAAAUAGCUUUAGGGCUAGCCUCAAGUGAUGAUUAUUGGAGGUAGAGCACUGUUUGGACGAGGGGCCCCUCUCGGGUUACCGAAUUCAGACAAACUCCGAAUGCCAAUUAAUUUAACUUGGGAGUCAGAACAUGGGUGAUAAGGUCCGUGUUCGAAAGGGAAACAGCCCAGACCACCAGCUAAGGUCCCAAAAUAUAUGUUAAGUGGAAAAGGAUGUGGCGUUGCCCAGACAACUAGGAUGUUGGCUUAGAAGCAGCCAUCAUUUAAAGAGUGCGUAAUAGCUCACUAGUCGAGUGACACUGCGCCGAAAAUGUACCGGGGCUAAACAUGUUACCGAAGCUGUGGAUUGUCCUUUGGACAAUGGUAGGAGAGCGUUCUAAGGGCG